GGAGUGGGAAGGGAGAUGCCAAACAGGGACCACAGAAUCAGCAAAAACCUCUUUAGGGCCACACAGGUGGUGUAUUUGGAAAGAAUUCACCUUUAUUUCUAGAAAUUCCCUGAAGACGACAACCAGAAAAUGAAGAUUUCAGAGCAGUGUCCUUAGGUCUCAAAGAAUCUCCUGCUUAUUAAAAAAAAAACUUUUUCAGGGUUUUUUUCAGCUAAUGAUGUUCUGGUUUACCCUUGCAAGGCACAUUCACCUCUCAGGAUGCUCAGCUGCACUCUGAAGGAAAAAAAAAGUCACAGCUCAGUGCCUGAAUUUCCUGUGGCACUGCAAGGAUUCUUCCACCAGCACCAAACCCAGGGAGACCCAGCUGUGUCAGGGGCUGCCAAAAGGAUCUCCUGCCCUUGCUGGUAUGAUGAAGCAAUUCCAAAAUCACAUCCAGCUGACAUUUCUGCCACUCAUCCCUGCUGAAUGUGUGACCAUCAGACAGGACAAACAGCAAGGUCAGGGCAUGGCCUUACUCCUCAUCAUGUGAGCCCUGAUUUGGUGCUGCUUUGAACCAGGAAUCACCAAUUGAGGACACUUGAAAGAGUCUUUUUCAAGAGUUAUUUAUAUUUAAAUACAUUUCUUUCCAAGAUGGCCAAGCGUUUCUCACUGUGAAGUUUGGAACUAGGGGAAUAACAGAGAUUUCUGUAAAAAUAUGAGUUCAGCUUUCUGCUCUAGCAGGCUCUGCAAGCACCCCGGAGUGCUCCUGGGCAUGGGAAAUGCACCAUCAAUGCAUCAGUGGGAAAUUUCCCUUUGGUGGGAUCAUAACUCUGCCAUGAGCAAUAUUUUCUGAGCUUUAUGGAGUUCUUGCAGCGUGAAACUCAGGCAAAACAUUAACAUUUGGUCCCUUCAAUUGGUACUUAACGACCUCCUGGGCUCCUCAGUGCCCACCCAGAGCCUGAACCUGCUGAGAGCUCUGUUCUUGCUCCCUGAGCUUCUCUUUCACUUCUGACAGCUGGAAAUAAAAAUUGUCAGCUGAUCA
rnacentral:lncRNA from 1 species